UCUCAUUUUAGGUCUUCAUGGAGUCUGCA
rnacentral:piRNA from 1 species